GCUUACGGCCAUACCACCCUGGAAAUGUCUGAACUCGGAAGUAAAGCAGGGUCGGGCCUGGUUAGUACUUGGAUGGGAGACCGCCUGGGAAUACCAGGUGCUGUAAGCU
rnacentral:rRNA from 1 species